UGGGGAAUUUUGGACAAUGGGCGAAAGCCUGAUCCAGCAAUGCCGCGUGUGUGAAGAAGGCCUUCGGGUUGUAAAGCACUUUUGUCCGGAAAGAAAUCCUUGGCUCUAAUACAGUCGGGGGAUGACGGUACCGGAAGAAUAAGCACCGGCUAACUACGUGCCAGCAGCCGCGGUAAUACGUAGGGUGCAAGCGUUAAUCGGAAUUACUGGGCGUAAAGCGUGCGCAGGCGGUUUGCUAAGACCGAUGUGAAAUCCCCGGGCUCAACCUGGGGAACUGCAUUGGUGACUGGCAGGCUAGAGUAUGGCAGAGGGGGGUAGAAUUCCACGUGUAGCAGUGAAAUGCGUAGAGAUGUGGAGGAAUACCGAUGGCGAAGGCAGCCCCCUGGGCCAAAUACUGACGCUCAUGCACGAAAGCGUGGGGAGCAAAACAGGAUUAGAUACCCUGGUAGUCCACGCCCUAAACGAUGUCAACUAGUUGUUGGGGAUUCAUUUCCUUAGUAACGUAGCUAACGCGUGAAGUUGACCGCCUGGGGAGUACGGUCGCAAGAUUAAAACUCAAAGGAAUUGACGGGGUCAUAGCUGUUUCC
rnacentral:rRNA from 1 species